UCUCUUUUUCCAGAGAAGAAAACAUGAGAUAUAUUUCUCUUCUAUAAACCGCACUUCUUGAUAGUAGCCUCUCGGGUUUAUAACGUCCAGUGCGCGGGUUUAAUCUGUGGGGGCAAAAUCUUUUGUAAUACCGUGGUUGAAGAAUCCGCCGCGGCUAUUUAAAUUUUAUCAGCAGAGCCACGCGUCCGCCUCGAGAAUAGUCGGAGUAGCGACGUAAGAUUUUGCAGAAGGGGGUGUAAGUCCUCGUGUACACUCAGACUCAACAUAGGAGUGGGACGACGACUGCAAGGCUAGACUCCUGGCAGACGAGAGUAGAGUUCUUGGCGUAGCAGUGAGGUGCGUAGCGAUGGUGAGGUACCCUGAUGUUGCACGCCGCCAACCUAGGUCAAGAUUGACGCUCAUGCUCGAAAGCGUGGGGAGCAACCAGGAUUAGAUAACAUGGUAGUCUGCGCGCUAAGCGAUGUCUACUAGUUGUCAAAGUAUUAAUUAACUUGGUAACGCAGCUAACGCGUGAAGUAGACCGCUUGGGGAGUACGGUCGCAAGAUUAAAACUCAAAGGAAUUGACGGGGACCCGCACAAGCGGUGGAUGAUGUGGAUUAAUUCGAUGCAACGCGAAAAACCUUACCUACCCUUGACAUGUACGGAAGGCCGAAGAGAUUUGGCUGUGCUCGAAAGAGAACCGUAACACAGGUGCUGCAUGGCUGUCGUCAGCUCGUGUCGUGAGAUGUUGGGUUAAGUCCCGCAACGAGCGCAACCCUUGUCAUUAGUUGCUACAUUUAGUUGAGCACUCUAAUGAGACUGCCGGUGACAAACCGGAGGAAGGUGGGGAUGACGUCAAGUCCUCAUGGCCCUUAUGGGUAGGGCUUCACACGUCAUACAAUGGUACAUACAGAGGGCCGCCAACCCGCGAGGGGGAGCUAAUCCCAGAAAGUGUAUCGUAGUCCGGAUCGUAGUCUGCAACUCGACUACGUGAAGUUGGAAUCGCUAGUAAUCGCGGAUCAGCAUGUCGCGGUGAAUACGUUCCCGGGUCUUGUACACACCGCCCGUCACACCAUGGGAGCGGGUUUUACCAGAAGUAGGUAGCUUAACCGCAAGGAGGGCGCUUACCACGGUACGACUACGGGAUGCCCC
rnacentral:rRNA from 1 species